GAUGAAGAACGUAGCGAAAUGCGAUAAGUAAUGUGAAUUGCAGAAUUCAGUGAAUCAUCGAAUCUUUGAACGCACAUUGCGCCCCUUGGUAUUCCGAGGGGCAUGCCUGUACGAGCGUCAUUAUAACCCUCAAGCUCAGCUUGGUGUUGGGGCCUGCUGCACUGGCAGCCCUUAAAAUCAGUGGCGGCGCCAUCUGGCUCUAAGCGUAGUAAUUCUUCUCGCUAUGGAGUCCUGGUGGAUGCUUGCCAUCAACCCCCAAUUUUUCUAUGGUUGACCUCGGAUCAGGUAGGGAUACCCGCUGAACUUAAGCAUAUCAAUAAGCGGAGGA
rnacentral:misc_RNA from 1 species